AAUCAAUUGUACGAUCAUUUUUGAAUCAACAUUUUGAAACGUUCCCAUGCCUCAUAGAAACUUUCUCCCUCCAUCUGCCUAAGGAUAACAAUCUUUCUUCUUAGUUG
rnacentral:snoRNA from 1 species